AUUUGAUUCUAUUAUUGAUAUAUUAUUGGUGCUUGGGAUGGAGCAUCGAGGUUGAUUUCAUCCUGCACUUGUUUCAUUUUCCCCAUUAACCAUUUACACUGCUAAAUACUUUUCAAUGUAGUAUUAUUGUGUUGUGCCAUUUGCAACGGCGGUCUUUUCCUCGGUUUUUCAAAAUUUUCUGGGUCCUAGUGCUAAUCAAUUGCUGAGUUGUGCUAAUUCGAAGUUCUGUGUUUCUACAAAUAGCACGUUCUUACUCAAGUUCUCGAGGAAGCAGGCUACACCAAAAAUUCUCUAUUAGUUCCAGCCGAUUUCAUGAAGGUAAUAUAUCAAUUCUAUAUCUUUCGAGAAUGCUUAAAAGCGCUCUGAUGAUGUUACCAAGGUCGUUCCAUCUUGGUGGAUUAUUAUCCUAAUUGUGUUUUUUCUCUUAUAUUUGUUAUAUAUAUUAUGUUGUGUAUUCUGCUGCGCUUCUUAUCUUAUUGAGAACUUUACAUCAUUGCCUUGGUUACGUCGUACUGUUGUAGUAUGUCUUCUUGAUUUCUUCUUUGUCAUAUCCAUUGUUAAGUGCUUGUUAUCAUCUACCCACAGAUCCUGGGCAGUUCUGAACUGAAGAUGGAAGUUGAAGUUCCAGUAGAUUAGAGACGAGAAACGAUAGUUUUCGAAGUAUUUAUCUGUGAAACCCAUGUUCAUGACAUGUGAUCCAUCAUGUUCUAAGCCACUUAGCUACAGAUUCAAUGUUAGUAUUCUGUCUUUUUCACUUGCUACAUUUCUUGGAUGCUUGGUUGUACUUGUAAACAAAUAUCAAUA
rnacentral:lncRNA from 1 species